AGCAAAAAUUGGGCUAAGUAUUUGAUUUAAUUAAAUUCUGCGCCGGACUUGUAAUCAGGGGGUGGCGGGUUCAAGUCCUGCAGCCAGCACCA
rnacentral:tRNA from 1 species